CCCGAUACUAAGAGAAUUGCAGUUGGUUCCGUAACAUAGCCAAUGUCAUUUACACUUGUAUCAUGAAACCGAGUAAUAAUUAAUCAGUGCAGCCGGGAAGAAAGUCACUUUGUGAUGGUGCCACCUGUAGUAUAAAUAGCUAAUCGAAGAAUGAACUUGACGUUAAUUUGCAAAAAUUGAUUUGCAACCAGGAGACACGGCUCGUCCCUUUUUGGGGGCGGUCAAUUACUGACGACAGCGGCACAGUUUGCACAGCAUCUUUCUUUCUGGGUCCACUGGAAAGACUGGAGGGGAUAGAUUGUGAGAAAGAAGAUAGAUGAGGUUGGAGAAGUACGACUGUAUGAACGCAGCUUUAGCAGAGAAGAUGCCGCAACAGAAUAUGCAUUUUGAAUAACUCGAAAACGAAAUAUUUCAACCAUCCUAUUAACAAAUAUUUUUUUCCAUUUUAGUGGAGUUGAAAUUGUUAAUUCAUUACGAAUCGUCGGUCGCUCCGUAACUCAGAUCUGUUCACUGCUCCCGGGAAUUCCCAUUAUUGCGAGAGUGGUGAAUUUUUUUUGAAAUUUUUCAAGUGGAAAUUUUUCAAAAUAUGAAAAAAUUAAAAAUCACUGCACGAGGGCUCCUUUUCCCCCAUUUCGGAUCUGCGGUCGAUCCGCAACUCAUAUCUGUUCACUGCUCCCGGGAAUUCCCAUUAUUGCGAGAGUGGUGAAUUUUUUUUGAAAUUUUUCAAGUGGAAAUUUUUCAAAAUAUGAAAAAAUUAAAAAUCACUCCACGAGGGCCCCUUCUCCCCCAUUUCGGAUCUGCGGUCGAUCCACAACUCAGAUCUGUUCACUGCUCCCGGGAAUUCCCAUUAUUGCGAGAGUGGUGAAUUUUUUUGAAAUUUUUCAGUCCAAUUAACUCACAAAUAGAAAAAAAUUGGGAGAGGUACUACAAUGCCAGUGGGGUGACUAAAACUCCCAAAACUGAGCCUCUCUUUUAGUUAAUCCUCUUUGAUUUCGAACAAAUUCGGGGCGGGAAAUUUCGAAUGAAAAACACAUGACUUCUGUUUGUUCGAUUUAAUUUCAUAGUUCUACAGCUGCGUACAAAUUCAUCGGUAACAUUCAAUCAAUUCAUCGUUAAUCAUUAAGAUGGAAAUAUUAAAUCACUGCUUAAUUGGCAAAAAAA